CCCUAUUUAGCUGAGCUUGUAGGAGGUGAUCCUUGAAAAUCAUCCAACUCUUCUGGAUCUCCCUUCUCUCAUGGUCACUAAAGACAAGGCUGCCCCCAACAUGCAUAUCCCACCCAAUCCCUCCUUGUUUGCAAGUAUGAAGUCCAGCAGAGCAAUGCCCCUUGCUGGCCCCUUGAUCACCUCUUUGUCCUCCUUGCACUCCAGAAACCUCUUGGAUUACUUGUGUCUUGCUGUGUUGUCCCUCCAGCAGGUAUUGGGGUGGUUGAAGUCCCCCAUGAUGCUUCUUUCAGCUGUCUGCAGAAGGCCCCAUCAACCUCCUGUCUUCUUUUAAAGGCAGAAUUGCAGAAAAACACCUUAAGGCCUGGACCAGAAGAUAUCACACAGACACAGCGACCUUCAAGCCCAGAAAUUUGGAGGAGCUUCAAGGAUUGAACGUGCUUCAAGGAAGAUGAAGAUGAGGAAGAAGGGGUCCCAAAUACCCCCAGACUCAAUUCCUGAAGGGGCGGCACGGGGCAGAACCAGGGGGUGGACAAAUUGGGAUUGGAUGGACCUUAUUAUAAAAUCAUAGAACCACUGUCUGAAAGGGUAUGUAUUCCUGUGGGCCUAACGACUCAUUAAAGUUCCUGCUCUCUUCACCUUAUCUCCUACACUAAA